rnacentral:rRNA from 1 species
ACAAAAACAUUUUUUCAAUAAUUAAUGAGAUAUAAUCUGCUCAAUGUAAAAAUAUAAAUAGCCGCAGAUUUUAAACUGUGCUAAGGUAGCAUAAUAAUUUGUUUUUUAAUUAAAAACUUGUAUGAAUGAUUUAACAAAAUGAAAACUUUUUUUAAAAUUAACAUUAAACUUUACUUUAUAGUGAAAAGGCUUUAAUAGUUAAAUAGGACGAGAAGACCCCAAAAUUUUUAUAUGAUAAAAAAAAUAUUAAAUAUUUUUAAGUAAUAAUUUUCAUAUUUAGUUGGGGCAACUUUUAGAUAUUAAAUUAAAACUAUAUUAAACUUAUAAAUUCUAAAUAAUAAUAUUUAUAAACUCUUUGAGGUUUUAUAGUAUAAUCCAAUGUAAUUGAAAUAAUGUAAAAAUACUUUGGGGAUAACAGUGUAAUUUUUUUUUAAGAUCUUAUUAAUAAUUAAGUUUGCAACCUCGAUGUUGGAUUAAGGUUAAACAUUGGAAGUACAUAUUAAUUUUUAUUGAUCUGUUCGAUCAUUAGUUCCUUACAUGAUCUGAGUUCAAAUCGGCGUAAGCCAGAUUGGUUUCUAUCCUUUUAAUAAACAUUAUUACUAUAGU